rfam:Brevibacterium yomogidense strain B Co 03.10 genome assembly, contig: Scaffold2
GUCGGUCCUCGACAGUGGCCUCCGCAAUACGAUGUGCGUGGGCUUCGAUCGAAGGCCGCC